AAUGUGCUGCACCAAGUGUUUCCCAAAAGAUCGUGGACUUUUAUAUCAGCAGCAGCCUGAUAACAGCCGAUGUCUACAUGAUCUCUCAUCAGUGACAAGCCUCCAGCUGAGCCGAAUCAUAUUCAGCCCGAUCGUGUAAAAGGACACCAUUUUUAUUUGGCGCGCUGCACAUCCGGGAAAAGCAACAGAGCAACAGAGCAACCCUGGACUUCAGCCGCUGUUUUUCUAUGGUUUUCUCGAGGGACAGAUUACACUUGCCUCAUUCGGCCGUCUGACUGGCCGAGAGAAACCUACACUCUCAGAAAAAAGAAAAAAAAAAAAAUAGUACUAAACUGUACCUUUCCUUGUCACUGGGGUGGUACACUCAAUCGAGGGUACUUGUUUUAUGUCUGUUUCACAUGGAAACAUGGAUGUAGUGUAUACCAUUACAAAUGAUUUAAGGUACAUAAAUGAAAUGGACCAUGAUUAAAGCUUUUCUCUAAAAACUGAAGGCACACUCACUAUAAGCAGCAUUCGAGGUAAUUCAUAGUAAAGGUACACAAGGUGUAAGUGUGAUUGUGGGUACCAACCCAGUGAGACUGAAAGGUACGGUUUACUCUCUCUACAACCGAGCAGAUCCACAGGAAUAUCACCUAAUAUUUAUAUAUUUAUUUCUUUUUAAAUAACUAAAGAACGAAGAGCAACCUUCUUUUAAAGAGAAUUACACUGAAUUGGGACAGGGUGUGUUCCACUAAAACAGCCUUUAUACCCUUUCACUCUUUUAUUAGCUUAUUU
ensembl:lncRNA